rnacentral:rRNA from 1 species
UAGGGAAUCUUCCGCAAUGGGCGAAAGCCUGACGGAGCAACGCCGCGUGAGUGAUGAAGGUCUUCGGAUCGUAAAACUCUGUUAUUAGGGAAGAACAAAUGUGUAAGUAACUAUGCACGUCUUGACGGUACCUAAUCAGAAAGCCACGGCUAACUACGUGCCAGCAGCCGCGGUAAUACGUAGGUGGCAAGCGUUAUCCGGAAUUAUUGGGCGUAAAGCGCGCGUAGGCGGUUUUUUAAGUCUGAUGUGAAAGCCCACGGCUCAACCGUGGAGGGUCAUUGGAAACUGGAAAACUUGAGUGCAGAAGAGGAAAGUGGAAUUCCAUGUGUAGCGAUGAAAUGCGCAGAGAUAUGGAGGACCACCAGUGGCGAAGGCGACUUUCUGGUCUGUAACUGACGCUGAUGUGCGAAAGCGUGGGGAUCAAACAGG